rnacentral:rRNA from 1 species
GUGGGGAAUCUUGCGCAAUGGGCGAAAGCCUGACGCAGUCAUGCCGCGUGAAUGAUGAAGGUCUUAGGAUUGUAAAAUUCUUUCACCGGGGACGAUAAUGACGGUACCCGGAGAAGAAGCUCCGGCUAACUUCGUGCCAGCAGCCGCGGUAAUACGAAGGGGGCUAGCGUUGCUCGGAAUUACUGGGCGUAAAGGGCGCGUAGGCGGACAGCUUAGUCAGAGGUGAAAGCCCAGGGCUCAACCGUGGAAUUGCCUUUGAUACUGGCUGUCUUGAGUUUGGGAGAGGUGAGUGGAACUCCGAGUGUAGAGGUGAAAUUCGUAGAUAUUCGGAAGAACACCAGUGGCGAAGGCGACUCACUGGCCCAAUACUGACGCUGAGGCGCGAAAGCGUGGGGAGCAAACAGGAUUAGAAACCCCAGUAGUCC